UCCGUCAGAGAAACACAAAAUUAUCAAAAAUUUUGAAUUCGCGCUUCUCCGCACCCGCUCUGCUAUAAAUUAAUUCCAAAUCCAAUAUCCACCAUCACUUUCACUGAAAUCAAGCACUACUCAUAAGCAUUUCUCAUUUCACCUUCUCCUUUCUCCAACAAGAGCGGUGUACAUGGCUCGCACCAAGCAGACUGCCAGGAAAUCUACAGGAGGUAAGGCUCCCAGGAAGCAGCUGGCAACAAAGGCAGCUCGUAAGUCAGCACCAGCCACCGGCGGUGUGAAGAAGCCUCACCGUUUCAGGCCUGGAACUGUCGCC
rnacentral:misc_RNA from 1 species